rnacentral:lncRNA from 1 species
GGAAGGGAGGAUGAUAAUUAAACAAUCAGAUGUGCUAAGUGCAUCAUGCUGGGACACCGCUACAUUUCAGAUGGGUUGCAAGGUUUGAAGCCGAAGGCGAUAACUCAGGAAGCGGCCACGUUACAGCUGUAACAGUAAGACUUUCUGCGUGGUCCCUGGAGCACCACGGUGCCAGUCUUCUCCUGAAACACUCCCUGCUGGCGUGCCGGACGCUCGGCAUCUUUCAGCUGCUAAGACUGAGAUUUUCCCCUCUGGAUUUACUCCAAGGCUCCUCUCCCUGCCUGCCUCACGCGGAGAGCAACUGAGCUCCAGGAGUAAAGGUAAAUCCAUCUUUCACAUCCCCUGUGAAAAAAAAACCACAUUAUUUAUAAGUAUGGCCAAUUGUCAAUGUCAAAGAUAUUUUUUCUAAAGCAGCAAAAACCAUCUUUCACAUCCCCUGUGAAAAAAAAACAUUAUUUAUAAAUAUGUAUACAUUGGCCAAUUGUCAAUGUCAAAGAUAUUUUUUCUAAAGCAGCAAAAACUUGUAGGUUUUGAAAAUCUCUUUCCAUGCUAAAACUCCAGGUGCCAAACUUUAGAAAACAGUUAUAAUCUUGUCAAUCUGCUAUAUCAUUCAAAUUUUAGCUUUGAGGAAGCUUAUAUUAGCCCACGAGGCUAUCUGCUGUUCCUGGAACCACAGUCCUGUCUAGGGUAAAAGACAAUAGUCAACAAAAUCACUGUGUAAAAGCAUCCUUUUUUUUUGGCCCUGAACUUGUAUAAUGAGAAGUUUCAUGUGGGCAGAAUAGUAUCAGGACUGAUUACGCUGUGUUUCUACUUUAGCUGCUUGUCUUCCAGUUUGGGGGUUUUAAACUCUCUUCCAUGACAAAUGUCUGUGUUCAGUGAAUAAUUUCAUUUUUUUAUAAAAAAUACUAGAGGAGACAUUAAAAAACCCACCUCCUCUAAACAAGAAUUGCCAUAACAUAUUGUAAUAGUGAUUUAACGCUUUGGGAGGCAAUAAGGAGAAUAUACACACUACUGAGACAAUGCACAGAAAAUAGUUCUUCACUCGCCACAGUGCUCCUGGCCCAAGGUUUUCAGGCAGCACCAUUUAAUGCCUCCAUCCCUCCUGGCUCUGUCAAGGAGGGGUGAUGGAACCAGGUACUUUAGUCCACAGGGGGCUAAUGGGGACACCAGACACGAUGACAUUUGUCAAUGAAAUAAUGCAAAACAGGCCACACUUUAACAUUUUAUUUGUUCUAUGCCGCAGAAGGAAAUAAUAAGAUAAGGACCAAAUGGCAAAUUCCCCACUGAGGGAAUUCCCAGUUUCUGUUGCAGUUGUGCUUUUUGAGUUUUGAGUGUUUCACAAAAGCUUACAGGAAAUGCUGAUGAAGAUAAAAAUUUCUUCUAGUUGUUAGUUAUCAGUGAAUACUUCA